GAUGAACGCUGGCGGCGUGCUUAACACAUGCAAGUCGAACGGUGAAGCCCAGCUUGCUGGGUGGAUCAGUGGCGAACGGGUGAGUAACACGUGAGCAAUCUGCCCCUGACUCUGGGAUAAGCGCUGGAAACGGCGUCUAAUACUGGAUACGAGCCGUGAAGGCAUCUUCAACGGUUGGAAAGAUUUUUCGGUCAGGGAUGAGCUCGCGGCCUAUCAGCUUGUUGGUGAGGUAAUGGCUCACCAAGGCGUCGACGGGUAGCCGGCCUGAGAGGGUGACCGGCCACACUGGGACUGAGACACGGCCCAGACUCCUACGGGAGGCAGCAGUGGGGAAUAUUGCACAAUGGGCGCAAGCCUGAUGCAGCAACGCCGCGUGAGGGAUGACGGCCUUCGGGUUGUAAACCUCUUUUAGCAGGGAAGAAGCGAAAGUGACGGUACCUGCAGAAAGAGCGCCGGCUAACUACGUGCCAGCAGCCGCGGUAAUACGUAGGGCGCAAGCGUUAUCCGGAAUUAUUGGGCGUAAAGAGCUCGUAGGCGGUUUGUCGCGUCUGCUGUGAAAUCCCGAGGCUCAACCUCGGGUCUGCAGUGGGUACGGGCAGACUAGAGUGCGGUAGGGGAGAUUGGAAUUCCUGGUGUAGCGGUGGAAUGCGCAGAUAUCAGGAGGAACACCGAUGGCGAAGGCAGAUCUCUGGGCCGUAACUGACGCUGAGGAGCGAAAGGGUGGGGAGCAAACAGGCUUAGAUACCCUGGUAGUCCACCCCGUAAACGUUGGGAACUAGUUGUGGGGUCCAUUCCACGGAUUCCGUGACGCAGCUAACGCAUUAAGUUCCCCGCCUGGGGAGUACGGCCGCAAGGCUAAAACUCAAAGGAAUUGACGGGGACCCGCACAAGCGGCGGAGCAUGCGGAUUAAUUCGAUGCAACGCGAAGAACCUUACCAAGGCUUGACAUACACGAGAACGCUGCAGAAAUGUAGAACUCUUUGGACACUCGUGAACAGGUGGUGCAUGGUUGUCGUCAGCUCGUGUCGUGAGAUGUUGGGUUAAGUCCCGCAACGAGCGCAACCCUCGUUCUAUGUUGCCAGCACGUAAUGGUGGGAACUCAUGGGAUACUGCCGGGGUCAACUCGGAGGAAGGUGGGGAUGACGUCAAAUCAUCAUGCCCCUUAUGUCUUGGGCUUCACGCAUGCUACAAUGGCCGGUACAAAGGGCUGCGAUACCGUAAGGUGGAGCGAAUCCCAAAAAGCCGGUCCCAGUUCGGAUUGAGGUCUGCAACUCGACCUCAUGAAGUCGGAGUCGCUAGUAAUCGCAGAUCAGCAACGCUGCGGUGAAUACGUUCCCGGGUCUUGUACACACCGCCCGUCAAGUCAUGAAAGUCGGUAACACCUGAAGCCGGUGGCCCAACCCUUGUGGAGGGAGCCGUCGAAGGUGGGAUCGGUAAUUAGGACU
rnacentral:rRNA from 1 species